rnacentral:misc_RNA from 1 species
ACAUAUCCAGAGAAGCCUGAUUUCAGUUAGGCUCAUGAUCGCCGGCCUCUCCUUUGGAAAUUUUAUAUUCAUCUUAAGAGCAUGGUCAUUUUAAACUUUGUUGCAGUUAUUUGUCAUUAUUUUCUCCUGAACCCAUAUAUUUUGGUAGAGGAGAUGUUUGUUUGCUUUUCCGAUAUUGUAUGAUUGUAUGUGCUUAGGCAUCCUUGUUCCCUACAUGGAUGAGGAUAUUUGGGGUCUUUGUCCACCAAAACAGUUUUUUCAUUCAUUUCUGAAUGGAGAACUGCUUUUGGUUGGGAUGAGUAUGAUAAUUAGAUGUUCAAUUCAGUUGUUUAGGUUAUAUUUCACUUAAAAA